rnacentral:sRNA from 3 species
UGUAUCUGAAGUCUGACGAGGAUGAGAACCUCCGGGGGCAAGAGGUUCGACUCGAGCGAAGCGAGAGAACGUUGCGUCAGCAACGGCCCGCAGG